rnacentral:lncRNA from 1 species
CUAAUUCAUGAAUUGAAUCAAAUGGGCCCUUUAACUAAGCGGUAGAGUCGCGCUCUUUAAACGCCCUAAGAAAUAGGCGUAAGUCGUCGGUUCAAAUCCGAUAAAAAAAGGGCUUUUCUAUUUUUUACGAAACUCCUGUCUUAGUCUUCAUUUUCUUUUUCAGCAGAGAAUAUAGAUAUGAAAAAAAGGUAACCGCCUGGUGAGUAGUUUUUUUUUAGUUUUUAAGUAGAAUGUUCAUUAUGAUGAUAAGUAGUCGAUUAGGAGAAUUGCUAUGUCACUUAUGGUCGUUGCCUCAUCCUCAUGUUUUUAUUAUUCAGAUUUGUUGUUUUGGGACAUAGAUAUUCUAGAUACCCAUUAUGGAAUCGAUAAAGUCUUCCUACUUCUCCAUUGUUCCAAUCAGAUUCGAAAAAUGAGAAAGAAAGAAAAAGUAAGUGGACCUAAAAAAAAUCAUAACUAUAUAAGCUAUUCUGAUAUUAAGAUUCGAUAUAGAUGAAAUCGUGGAAGUGGACCUUUGAUUUCCUUGGACCAC